AGUGGUAAUAGGGUGAGGUCAUCUUGGUUGAGAAGUGACUGGUUGCUAAGGAAGUAGGCAAAACGAGUGGCAGCUACCCUCUCUAGAAGUUUGGAUGUGAAGGAAAAGACACAUUUGGGCAGAAGCUUAAGGAUGAAGACAGAGUAGACUGAUUAUAAAACUGACCCUCAUUCUUCAUCCCUCCCUGAAACCACACCUUUUGUGAUGUGACUUUGCAGCUCUUCCAAUCAAGUCUAUCUAUUUCCUUGCUCCUGGGCUGGCCUGUGGUUUGCUUUUGCCCAUAAAAUGAGGCAGAAGUGAUAUUGUGCUAGUUCUAGAGGCCUGUUUACUUCUUUUCUCUCUGUCUUAAAAUCCUGCCAGGUCACCAUGAGACCAAGUUUGUGCUAACUUGCUAACUUGCUGGAUAAGUGAUCAGUGACCCAGUCACCACUUCCCCAUAACUAAUAACCUGCUAAUUUCCAGGCAUGUGAGUGAGAUCAUCCUUGACCAGCCUGCCCCCACCAGCCCACCUGCAGACUGCACACUCGUGAGGAUAUGCAGCCGGUAUUUCAGGCCCAGCUAAAGCCAGCCUGGCCCAGAUUAAUAGAAUUGCCCAGAUGACUCAUCAAUUUGUCAGCUGGCUCCAAUCCUGAGGUCAUCACUCAUCAAGAGGGGAUAAUCCCAAGGACAGCAGGACCGGCUUCGUCACUUGGAUUUAGGAGCGAGAAACCCAUCAGGCAACUAAACAGUAACAAUGACCCACCAUUAAACACACAGAGAGAAGAGCAUGAAAAGGAGUUUGUACAAGAAGAAGCCAGGAGCACUUGCUGACAGCGCCUACUGAGACGCUGACCACUGUGAGCUCUGCCCACUGAACUGCAGUGCAAAAUCGCCCUCUCCCCAGAGUCACUUAGACGUGCACACAACAUCAGUUCAGACAAUGGGCUCUGCACGGACUUAACAGAGUGAAAAGAAUUUGGGGGUCAGAUGGGCCUGGGUUUGACUUGUUACGCUGCCACUUUUCUGUAGAAUGCUUUGGUCACAUUUUCAAAUGUCUCUGAGCCUCAGUUUCCUUGUCUGCAAAAUGGAGCUAAUACCUACUCUGAGGCUUUUAAGAGGAUCAAAUUCAACAGUGUCUGAAAAGCGCAAGCUACACAGGUACUUCUCUUUACGGAAAAAGAGCAAGAUGGGGACCAAAAAGGGAACCAAUACAAAGAGAGCUGUUUGAAAAAUUAUCCUUUGUUGAAGGCACUCAGACUCAGUAGGUAUACUUAUUUCUUGAGCUCGGAUACCAGGGGGGAAAGAUGGAGAGAGAAAUGGGGAAAGGCAGGAAGCCAGAAUCUCCCUCUUGUAUGAGAAAAUUCACUCGAACUAAUUUUCAGACAAUGUCACUCUCCUUUCUCAAACACUGGGACCACAGGGCAUUGUGCCAAAGAAGUCAGCAGCCUGGCAGAUAUUUUAAACUGAUUCUGAGACCAAACAACAGGCCAUUUGCGCCAUAUGCCACUGACAUGUUAAUCUAGGCAAAGAUACUAGGCACCUGGGGACAUCCAUGCUGAAAUGCCAUUUAGGCAGGGCACAGCAACUCCAAUGACAGAAGUUCAACAAGGCAAAUGGCGAGGGCGGCCGAGAAGAUACAAGUGGAGAGGAGGAGUGAAAGGGAGAUCGUGUUUAAUCCUUGAAAGAUUUUCUGAGUUGUAGACACUUCAUUAUGCUUCUAGGAGAGCUGCAGAUUUAACAAACAUCAAAACUGUGUAUUUACAGGCCGGACAAAUGAGUGUCUACUACUUUUGCACCCAUUAUACUGUGUGACCGCCAGCCCCAUGACCCUUGUAUCCAUUGGCAAAUACUGGGCGAUGCUCCAGUCCAUCAGAAUGACCUCCUUUAUCCCUGCAGUUUCACUGUAAAAAGCAAGUAGCUGCCGAGUGCCUCUAGCAGAUGCCCCAGUGUCAGACUUUCCAGGGUCCAAUUUGGUCGGAGCACUCUGGGCCUUUGGUCUCCCUCUCCCCUUUGCCCAGCCCUGUUUCUUGUUUACUAUGAGCAAUAAUGAGCUUCUCCACCCCAGCAUGAGGACAGGCUCACAGCCAGCACAUGAAAAAGGCUGAGCUCGUGUGUGGCAAUUACUCUAUUUCAUGGGCAGAUCACACAACUCUUUUUUUCCUUCUUCUGCGAUGCAACUACACUAAUGAUUUUUUUUAAGUAGGAAUAAGGCAGCACUAUGGGCUUUAGGGAAUAAAAGUCACACAGCAGGAGAACUGCAACAGACAUCAUAAAAGGAGCUCGCAAUGAAAUGUCCACCCACUCUUGUCAUUGGACCAAAUGAUUUUCCAGGAGCAAAAGGAUCAUUCUAAUUUAGGAGAGCUUAAUAAACAAAUAGAAUCACUGUCUUCAUUAUCUUCUUCCAGGCAAAUGAAACUUUAAAAAAUCAGCUCUUCCUGUUACCAUUAGUUAUUUUUCAUAGUCAGAAGAUUCUGAAAGAUCAUAAAAAUAAGAUUAGGGCACCAAAGAAUGUGGGUGCUCCCUAGCAUUCCCUCUGGUGUGUAGUUCAGUUUUGUCCUUGUUGGGUGUGGGCUCUGGAAUCGGCCCUUGAUUUAAAUCCAGAGCCCUGUCCCUUACUCACUAAUGACCACUGGCAACUAACUCAACGUCACCCCCAAAUCUCUGCUUCUGCAUCUGUAAACGUGUACAGAGUAACCCCAUCUUCCAGGGUUAUUAUGAGAAUUAGAGAAGACGUGUGUAAGCGAGGAGCAUACUUUCAGGCAUGUGGGUAACUAUAUUAAAAUGAUCUUGGGAACCA